rnacentral:misc_RNA from 1 species
CAUCUCUUUUGAAGGUAUAUCCAAGUGAUUGGUCGGUUCAUCCAAUACCAGCAACGUUGAUGGUUUUACCAUGAAUUUACAAAAUGCAAGGCGUGCCUUCUCCCCACCACUCAAUAACGAAACCUUCCUAUCAAGCAUCUCAGUUUUAAAAUUACAACGCCCAAGGAGACCUUUUAUGUCAUCAACUCUCCAGUCCUCUGCAACUUCCUCUACUGUCUCAAGCACUGUCUUUUCCAAAUCAAGUGCCUCAGCCUGAUUUUGUUCAAAAUAGUUAGGCAACACAUUGUGCUCCCCAAGCUGAACUUCACCUCCUUUUGGCUUUUCCAAACCCAUUAUCAAUUUCAGUAGUGUACUUUUUCCACAUCCAUUUGGG